AGCUGAGCAGAGAGGCUGGGGGUUUGGGACCCAGCCAUCUGCAAAGCCCAUCUGUGUGCGUGUUGUCGGAUACAAGACAGAUUUGCCUCUGUUCUGUCUCCUGCAGCCUUCUACAGAACCUCAUGAGAUGAGUCUCAGAACAGGCUGAUGGACAAGAAGGGGUACAGCUUAUUUAGCCCCCUCUGAUCCAGGAUUGCCCAUGGAUGUUCCUGUGUUGCACAAGGGGGUUCCUGUGGACAUCUCACCAUCCUGACUGGAAGCAGCAAGUGGUGCCCGAACAGGGACCAGACCAGACCUGAUUUGAUCAGAAACAAAACAGGAGAAGAAGCCCCAACAUGAGUUCUACAUGGUCAUGCCUUUUUCCCCACUGAAGCAUGCGAAAAUCCCUCCCAACGACUGAAGAAUCAAACUGCAAAAUCAACUUUCCUACUUCUUCACAAACAAGGGGGAGAUGCAACUGCCCCUCGGAACAAUGUGUUCCUUAAACUAGAACCCCUGGAGGAUUUUACUAGUUACCAAGAACAUUUAGAUAGGGCCUUAAGAAAAACAUAUACUGGCAACAGGUCUUUGGGGAGAAGGACAAUAUACGACCGGGAAGCCGAGCAGCCAGGAACGAGCAGCAGGGUGGAACGAAAUACGGCCUGCUUCCCUUUUCCGUUAUCGCUCCUUUCUCUUCCCAGAAGCGCCUGUUGUCAGAUGAGUCCUUUGAAUGUGCUUGGUUAACUAUAAACUUUAUCCUCCUCGUUUGCCCACAAGACAUGUGACUAAUGUUCGACCUUCAUCGGUUCUUCUGUUGGCUUUUGUUUCUGUCUAAUAAAAGUGAGACUGUGGAGUUGCUCGGGUGCAACAGUCUUUUCGACUGUUGUCCCCUGCUCCCAAUCUCUUGAAACUGACU
rnacentral:lncRNA from 1 species